rnacentral:snoRNA from 1 species
GGGCAUACCCGUAGACCUUGUCUGACUGUGCCUGUAGCCAGGCAAGGGGGACAGUGUAUGCGAGAGUAACUUGGAGUCGGUGCUUGCUCUGACCAGCGGAGUCGGUGGCUGGGGAAAUUGCAGCACUCCCAACAUUG